rnacentral:rRNA from 1 species
AGUGAACGCUGGCGGUAGGCCUAACACAUGCAAGUCGAACGGCAGCACAGUAAGAGCUUGCUCUUACGGGUGGCGAGUGGCGGACGGGUGAGGAAUACAUCGGAAUCUACUUUUUCGUGGGGGAUAACGUAGGGAAACUUACGCUAAUACCGCAUACGACCUACGGGUGAAAGCAGGGGAUCUUCGGACCUUGCGCGAUUGAAUGAGCCGAUGUCGGAUUAGCUAGUUGGCGGGGUAAAGGCCCACCAAGGCGACGAUCCGUAGCUGGUCUGAGAGGAUGAUCAGCCCAACUGGAACUGAGACACUGUCCAGACUCCUAAGGGAGGCAGCAGUGGGGAAUAUUGGACAAUGGGGGGAAGCCUGAUCCAGCCAUACCGCGUGGGUGAAGAAGGCCUUCGGGUUUUAAAGCCCUUUUGUUGGGAAAGAAAAGCAGCAGGUUAAUACCCCGCUGUUCUGACGGUACCCAAAGAAUAAGCACCGGCUAACUUCGUG